CAACUUUCAACAACGGAUCUCUUGGCUCUCCCAUCGAUGAAGAACGCAGCGAAAUGCGAUAAGUAAUGUGAAUUGCAGAAUUCAGUGAAUCAUCGAAUCUUUGAACGCACCUUGCGCCCUUUGGUAUUCCGAAGGGCAUGCCUGUUUGAGUGUCAUUG
rnacentral:rRNA from 1 species